rnacentral:piRNA from 1 species
UNGACAUUUGCUGGGUGGCUGGGAGGAAA